UCAUAUGAAAAUCCAACACUCGGCUACAAGUUUUUUGUUUCAAAGUCCGCUCGUUUUCUCUAAAAGUGCAACCGCGCAUCUGAAGUGAACAAAUUUGAGGAUGUUAAGACGGGGGACAUUUCGCAAAUUCUAUAGAUAAACCCUUUAAAAGGCCAUAAAAGACUACUUUGCGACACGGAUAUUUGUACGAGUGUUGUCUUGACGUAUACACUUUAAGAAAUUACAAAUUAAGAGCCUUCAAUAGCUUCCGAGUCAAGAUUUAUCAAAUUGCUAAGCAGGGGUCCGUUUUUCUUGAUGCUAAGACGGGGGCGUGAUUAAAAGAUAUGUAAUUGGAAGUCUUGUAUUUCAUUAGCCUGCUUCAUUUAAGUUUUUUUCCCAUGUUUAUACUGCAUACUUUAAGAAAAAUCUAGCUAUAUGUCUGGUAAAUUUCAAAUUGUUAUGACAAAUGAAAGCUUUUCGCCGACUGUAAACUGUAAAAUUUUACCUAAAGUGAACUACUUAGUACUUAAUUUGACUGAUUUAAUUGAAAAUGCAUCAACUUUCACUUUAUGUACUACAUUUCUAACGCGAUUAAAGUGUCAUGUCUAGAUAAUUUUAUAGUAACCAUGUAAAGAAUACUGUUAAGUUUUUGAAAAAGCAUCAGUUUAUAUUGAAUUCUGUUCCAGCCGCGUUAACUUUAAUUUUUUAGGCUGAAUAAAAUACAUUUGCGCAUCUGACAUUAGCAAUAGUAAGUUGUCAAAAGAAAUCGGAAUGUAUAUGUUAUUUUCUGAUACCUUAUUUUAAGACAUUUUGUUCAGAAUGCCCUUUUUGGUUUAAAAAUAUGAAUUAUUAUUAUCAUUGUAGUACUAAAGCGUAUUUACAUUUCAGACAUUUGUGUGCCAGGAAUGCGGAAGGGCUUAUAAUUCCAAAAAAAAAAGCCUUCUGUGCCACGAAAAAGGCCACAGAAAUCUUGGACCUUACAUGUAUAACUGCGGCGAGCGGUCUUUUCCGGACUACAUUUCUGUGCGGAAAGCUAUUCCAGACUGGCGGCCAUGACAGAUGUGGGUUGGAAAUCAUAAAGAGUGACUGUGUACUUUGAUAUGUAGCAAAGAAGUUCAUUGUUGAUGAUAGUGUUCCUUUAUUAUUUAUUGAAUACGAUCAGAAAUACAGAGCUCUCAAUGCUGUAAA
rnacentral:lncRNA from 1 species